AUGUUGCGUGGUUCAUUACCGUCAAAUCUACAGCACAUGGCAGCCAUCAGUAUUGGUCUGGAGAGAAAUAAUCUUACAGGUCUAGUUCCACGGCUAUUCCCUAUAAAUAUAACAAGCUUAGAUCUCUCUUCAAACUCUUUCUCAGGGUCAUUGCCAGCAGAGCUAAAAGCACCACAAAUUUUUAUGUUGUCAUUGGCAGAUAAUAAAAUUACAGGCACCAUUCCAUCAUCUAUGUGCCAAUUGACUAGUCUAGCACGGUUGGACUUGUCAAGAAACAAAUUAACAGGAGAUGUUGUGCAGUGCUGGAAGGAGUCAGAUAACAAUUCUUCAGUGUCCAGAGCAAACUCUGCAGAUCAAUUCGGUUCUCGGAUGUAUAGUCUAGACUUGAGCAACAAUGGUCUCUCAGGUGAAUUCCCUAAAUUUCUUCAGAGUGCCUCACAAUUGAUGUUCCUUGAUCUUUCAUAUAAUAGGUUCUUUGGAAUAUUGCCAAAGUGGUUACCAGAAAAAAUGCCACGAUUGGAAAUAUUGACGGUGAGAUCAAACAUGUUCAGUGGUCGUAUUCCCAAGAACCUUACUUGCCUUGAAAAUCUUUAUUAUUUGGACAUGGCCCAUAACAAUAUAUCAGGAAGCAUACCAUGGUUGCUAUCAAACUUGAAAGCAAUGAGAGUCAUAUAUAAGGAUGCAAAUGACUAUGUUUAUGCGGAUAGCAUGCCAGUAAUCACAAAAGGCCAAACACGUGAUUAUACUGUGGGCGUCUUCAGCCAAGUUGUGAAUGUUGAUCUGUCAUGUAACAGUUUAACAGGACAUAUUCCAGAGCAGAUAAGUUUGCUCAUUGGGCUCACCAGUUUGGACUUAUCAAGUAAUCAGUUGACUAGCAAAAUCCCAAACAAGAUUGGUGAUCUGAAGCAGUUGCAGUCCCUCGACUUAUCCAACAACAAGUUUUCUGGUGAAAUCCCGUCAGGUUUGUCGGCUCUAACCUAUCUGAGCUACUUGAACUUGUCAUACAACAACUUAUCAGGCCCGAUACCAUCCGGGCCGCAGCUGCAAACUCUCGGCAACCAGAUUGAUAUCUACAUCGGCAACCCCGGUCUCUGCGGUCACCCUAUCUCCAAGAACUGCUCUACCAGUACUACUGACGCAGAGCAAAGUGUCGUCCAUGAAGAUGCAGAUCAUAUCGCGUAUCUCUACCUUGGGAUGAGCAUAGGGUUUGUGGUCGGCCUUUGGACGGUGUUUUGCACCAUGUUACUGAGGAGAACCUGGGCGAUUUCCUACUUCCAGUUUGUUGACAAGCUGUAUGACGAGGUUUAUGUAAGGGUGGCUAUAACUCGGGCUCGCCUGAUGAAGAAGACCCGCAAAGAUGCAGCGUGA
rnacentral:rRNA from 1 species